rnacentral:ribozyme from 10 species
ACUGCACAAAACCAACAGCCUUCACGCGGCGUGCAGUGAGCAACGUAUAGUUUUAUACGGCCAAUGUUGAA